rnacentral:rRNA from 1 species
CGAAAGCCUGACGGAGCAAUACCGCGUGAGGGAGGAAGGCCUUUGGGUUGUAAACCUCUUUUCUCAGGGAAGAAGUUCUGACGGUACCUGAGGAAUUAGCAUCGGCUAACUCCGUGCCAGCAGCCGCGGUAAUACGGAGGAUGCAAGCGUUAUCCGGAAUUAUUGGGCGUAAAGCGUCCGCAGGUGGUCUUUCAAGUCUGCUGUUAAAGACCAGAGCUUAACUCUGGGCAGGCGGUGGAAACUGGAAGACUAGAGUUCGGUAGGGGUAGCGGGAAUUCCCAGUGUAGCGGUGAAAUGCGUAGAUAUUGGGAAGAACAUCGGUGGCGAAGGCGCGCUACUGGACCGAAACUGACACUCAGGGACGAAAGCUAGGGUAGCGAAAGGGAUUAGAUACCCCUGUAGUCCUAGCUGUAAACGAUG